rnacentral:rRNA from 1 species
CCUACGGGUGGCUGCAGUGAGGAAUAUUGGUCAAUGGCCGGAAGGCUGAACCAGCCAAGCCGCGUGAAGGACGAAGGUGCCAAGCAUUGUAAACUUCUUUUGUCAAGGGACAAAAUCAGGCUCGAGAGCCUGUCCGAGGGUACUUGAAGAAAAAGCAUCGGCUAACUCCGUGCCAGCAGCCGCGGUAAUACGUAGGGUGCAAGCGUUAUCCGGAAUGAUUGGGCUUAAAGGGUGCGGAGGUGGUUAAGUAAGUUGGCGGUGUAAUUCCGGGGCUCAACCUCGGCGGUACCGCGAAAACUAUUAGAUGGGAGGGCAGGAGGGGUAAGUGGAAUGCCUAGUGUAGCGGUGGAAGGCGUAGAUAUUAGGAAGAACAUCAGGGGCGAAGGCGACUUACUGGACUGUAACUGACACUGAGGCACGAAAGCGUGGGGAGCAAACAGGAUUAGAUACCCUUGUAGUC